AAACCGCUUUCAGUAUGGGACGAAAAUGACGGUACCUGUCAGAAGAAGCUCCGGCCAACUACGUGCCAGCAGCCGCGGUGAUACGUAGGGAGCAAGCGUUGUCCGGAAUUACUGGGCGUAAAGGGCUCGUAGGUGGUUGAGUAAAGUCAGAUGUGAAAUCUCRAGGGCCCAACCCUGAGCCUGCAUUUGAUACUGCUCUGACUAGAGUCCGGUAGGGGAGUGCGGAACUCCUGGUGUAGCGGUGAAAUCGCGCAGAUAUCAGGAAGAACACCGACAGCGAAGGCAGCACUCUGGGCCGGUACUGACACUGAGGAGCGAAAGCAUGGGUAGCAAACAGGAUUAGAUACC
rnacentral:rRNA from 1 species